AGGAGGAACAACCGCAGUGGCGGGGCCAGCUCUGCAGCCCUGGAGUCAGCUCCCGCAGUAGCUCCAGAGCUCUCCGUCUGCAGGGCCUGGAGGCUCCGGGGCGGG
rnacentral:pre_miRNA from 1 species